GAUGAACGCUGGCGGCGUGCCUAAUACAUGCAAGUCGAGCGAACAGACGAGGAGCUUGCUCCUUUGACGUUAGCGGCGGACGGGUGAGUAACACGUGGGUAACCUACCUAUAAGACUGGGAUAACUUCGGGAAACCGGGGCUAAUACCGGAUAAUAUUUCGAACCGCAUGGUUCGAUAGUGAAAGAUGGCUCUGCUAUCACUUAUAGAUGGACCUGCGCCGUAUUAGCUAGUUGGUAAGGUAACGGCUUACCAAGGCAACGAUACGUAGCCGACCUGAGAGGGUGAUAGGCCACACUGGAACUGAGACACGGUCCAGACGACUAAGGGAGGCAGCAGUAGGGAAUCUUACGCAAUGGGCGAAAGCCUGACGGAGCAACGCCGCGUGAGUGAUGAAGGUCUUCGGAUCGUAAAACUCUGUUAUUAGGGAAGAACAAACGUGUAAGGAACUGUGCACGUCGUGACGGUACCUAAUCAGAAAGCCACGGCUAACUACGUG
rnacentral:rRNA from 1 species